CAGUCGCCGCGGUAAUACGUAGGUGGCAAGCGUUGUCCGGAAUUAUUGGGCGUAAAGGGCUCGCAGGCGGUUUCUUAAGUCUGAUGUGAAAGCCCCCGGCUCAACCGGGGAGGGUCAUUGGAAACUGGGAAACUUGAGUGCAGAAGAGGAGAGUGGAAUUCCACGUGUAGCGGUGAAACGCGUAGAGAUGUGGAGGAACACCAGUGGCGAAGGCGACUCUCUGGUCUGUAACUGACGCUGAGGAGCGAAAGCGUGGGGAGCGAACAGGAUUAGAUACCCCCGUAGUCCCUGUCUCUUAUAC
rnacentral:rRNA from 1 species